rnacentral:rRNA from 1 species
UACGUAGGGGGCAAGCGUUGUCCGGAUUUAUUGGGCGUAAAGAGCGUGUAGGCGGCCAGACAGGUCCGUUGUGAAAACUCGAGGCUCAACCUCGAGACGCCGAUGGAAACCGUCUGGCUAGAGUCCGGAAGAGGAGAGUGGAAUUCCUGGUGUAGCGGUGAAAUGCGCAGAUAUCAGGAAGAACACCCGUGGCUAAGGCGGCUCUCUAGUACGGUACUGACGCUGAGACGCGAAAGCGUGGGGAGCAAACGGG